UGGCACGAAUAACGCAUUUAAUCAUCCGCCUGGGGACUGCCGGCACCAUAUAAAGAAUCACCGGAUGUGUCCGUGCCAGCAACCGCGGUAAUACGGAGGGUGCAAGCGUUAUUCGGAAUCAUUGGGCGUAAAGGGCGCGUAGGCGGUUUUUUAAGUCUGAUGUGAAAGCCCGGGGCUUAACCCCGGAAGUGCAUUGGAAACUGAAUGACUUGAGUAUGGGAGAGGGAAGUGGAAUUCCUGGUGUAGAGGUGAAAUUCGUAGAUAUCAGGAGGAACACCGGUGGCGAAGGCGACUUCCUGGACCAAUACUGACGCUGAGGCGCGAAAGCGUGGGUAGCAAACAGGAUUAAAUACCCUGGUAGUCCACGCCGUAAACGGUGAACACUAGGUGUAGCGGGUAUUGACCCCUGCUGUGCCGAAGUUAACGCAUUAAGUGUUCCGCCUGGGAAGUACGAUCGCAAGAUUAAAACUCAAA
rnacentral:rRNA from 1 species